rnacentral:sRNA from 1 species
GCUGGGUACUGUGGUGCAUGCCUGUAAUCCCAGAGGCUCAGGAGGCUGAGGCAGGAGGAUUUAGAGUUCAAAGACAGUCUCGGCAAUUUAUCGAGGCCUUAAGCAACUCAGUAAGAUCCUGUAUCUA